rnacentral:rRNA from 1 species
GACGAACGCUGGCGGCGUGCUUAACACAUGCAAGUCAAGGGGGCCCGCAAGGGUAACCGGCGAACGGGUGCGUAACACGUGAGCAAUCUGCCUAGAUGUGGGGGAUAGCCGGCCCAACGGCCGGGUAAUACCGCAUACGCUCGUCGACUGGCAUCAGUUGACGAGGAAACUUUCGAGGCAUCUAGAGGAGCUCGCGGCCUAUCAGCUAGUUGGUGGGGUAACGGCCUACCAAGGCGGUGACGGGUAGCUGGUCUGAGAGGAUGGCCAGCCACAUUGGGACUGAGAUACGGCCCAGACUCCUACGGGAGGCAGCAGUGGGGAAUAUUGCGCAAUGGUCGAAAGGCUGACGCAGCGACGCCGCGUGGGGGAUGAAGCAUUCGGUGUGUAAACCCCUGUUGCUCGGGACGAACAAGCCUUUUCGAGGGCUCUGACGGUACCGAGUGAGGAAGCACCGGCUAACUCCGUGCCAGCAGCCGCGGUAAU